CAGGAUUCCCCUAGUAACUGCGAGUGAACGGGGAAGAGCCCAGCACCGAAGCCCCGACGAAUGCAAAUCUUCGUCGGGCGCAAUGUGGUGUGUGGGAAGAAGGGCGUUUGCGGUGGGGAAACCAGGGAGAAUCCGAGUCUCCUCGAUCGGGGCAACCCGUCGAGGGUGCAAGGCCCGUUCAAGAUUCUUUCCGAGGACUCCCGCUAUAGCUUUUCUUCUUCCCGGGAGUCGCGUUGCUCGAGAGUGCAACGCAAAGCUGGUGGUAUACUCCAUCUAAGGCUAAAUACUGGCCACGAGACCGAUAGCAAACAAGUACCGUGAGGGAAAGUUGCAAAGAACUUUGAAGAGAGAGUUCAAGAGUGCGUGAAACCGUUCGGAGGUAAACGGGUGGAACCUCGAAAGUCGAAGAGAGGCAUGCGUGGGAUGUAUUUCCCAUCGCCUCCUAGUAGGACGCCGCGACCGGUCGGAGUUUAAGGCGGCGGUUCGAGUCCCUCGCGAUGCGGGCACGCGUACGCUCCGGCGUACGUCCCCAUCCGAAUCACGCGGACUCACGCCGCCUCCGACCGAGGACCUGUGCGGGAGGGGGUGGGAGUGUCUGGAAGGAGCUCCCUCCCCCCGGUGGCGAGUGCGCGUACGCGCGCGCCGACGAUUCCUUCGUCCGUGUGUCGUAUCUCUCUCUCGGGGGAGGUGCGCGCGCGGGCAGGGGGGGUCGCUCGAGCGUUUCAGCGCGUGCGCGUGCGAACUUUCCGUGCCGCGUAUCUUGGGUCUGCGGCGAGUAGGUCGGUAUCCACCCGACCCGUCUUGAAACACGGACCAAGGAGUYUAACGCGUGCGCGAGUCUUCGAGGCUCCGCGAACCUCGCGAAGGCGCAACGAAAGCGAUCCAAACACGCAAAAAUAAGUAUGCGGGAUCCCCGGGUAUCCCUCGAUGACACCGGGGGAGGUUAAACUCGUUUUUCCUCCCCCCGGUCCCUCUCUUGGACUUCCCCGGGGCGCACCGCAAGCCCCAUCGACUAUUCGAUGGGAGCUGGAGCGCACGCGUUGGUACCCGAAAGAUGGUGAACUAUGCCUGGUCGGGACGAAGUCAGGGGAAACUCUGAUGGAGGUCCGUAGCGAUUCUGACGUGCAAAUCGAUCGUCGGAACUGGGUAUAGGGGCGAAAGACUAAUCGAACCAUCUAGUAGCUGGUUCCCUCCGAAGUUUCCCUCAGGAUAGCUGGCACUCGGAGUAACACAGUCUCACUCGAUAAAGCGAAUGAUUAGAGGACCGUGGGGUUUCCAUUAAAAACCUCUGCCUAUUUUCAAACUUUGAAUGGGGUGAGUGAUUCUACGAGCUUGCUUAAAUACGAAGGGCGAGAUUCGUUUCAACCUUCUUGAAGCUCGAUGUUUGACUGUAAAGAUGGAGAGACGGCCAAGUGGGCCAUUUUUGGUAAGCAGAACUGGCGCUGUGGGAUGAACCAAACGCCGGGUUAAGGCGCCCGAUGCGGCAAACGCUAAUGAGACACCAUGAAAGGUGUUGGUUGCUCUAGACAGCAGGACAGUGGCCAUGGAAGUCGGAAUCUGCUAAGGAGUGUGUAACAACUCACCUGCCGAAGCAACUAGCCCUGAAAAUGGAUGGCGCUCGAGCGUCGAGCCUAUACCCGGCACGUCGACCAGGGUACGCACACGUAUAUGCCGUACGUAGGGUCGACGUAGUAGGAGGGUCGUCGCGGUGUGCGUAGAAGGGGUCGAGCGCGAGCUCGCCCGGAGCCGCCGCGAGUGCAGAUCUUGGUGGUAGUAGCAAAUACUCGAGCGAGACCCUCGAGGACCGAAGUGGAGAAGGGUUCCACGUGAACAGUGAUUGAACGUGGGUGAGUCGGUCCUAAGAGUUACACAAAAUCGAUGGCGAAAGGGAAUCUGGCUAACAUUCCAGAACCCGGACGAGGAGAAUCUAUUGGCGGCAACGCAAACGAACUCGGAGACGGCGGCGAGAGGCCCGGGAAGAGUUGUCUUUUCUUUGUAAGGGACGAGGGCUUCCGUGGAAAGGGCUUAGCCCGCGAUACGGAAGUCGUUCCCGUAAAGCAUCGCGUUUCUCGCGUGUCCGGUGCCCUCUCGUCGUCCUUGAAAUCCGAGGGAGCGAUAUGAUUUUCUCGCGGGCGUACCCAUAUCCNNNNNNNNNNNNNNNNNNNNNNNNNNNNNNNNNNNNNNNNNNNNNNNNNNNNNNNNNNNNNNNNNNNNNNNNNNNNNNNNNNNNNNNNNNNNNNNNNNNNAGACAUGUAGAUAAGGGAGGUCGGCAAGCUAGAUCCGUAACUUCGGGAUAAGGAUUGGCUCUGAAGGCCGAGUAUCGACGUAAGUCGCCAUUCGUGCGAUAACGUCGAGCAAGGAACGGCAUCACUCAGAACUGGCACGGACCGGGGAGCUCCGACUGUCUAAUUAAAACAUAGCAUCGUGACGGCCGCUGAGUGUAAUUACAAGCGGUGCUGACACGAUGUGAUUUCUGCCCAGUGCCCCGAAUGUCAAUGCG
rnacentral:rRNA from 1 species